rnacentral:rRNA from 1 species
GUGGGGAAUCUUGCGCAAUGGGCGAAAGCCUGACGCAGCCAUGCCGCGUGAAUGAUGAAGGUCUUAGGAUUGUAAAAUUCUUUCACCGGGGACGAUAAUGACGGUACCCGGAGAAGAAGCUCCGGCUAACUUCGUGACAGCAGCCGCGGUAAUACGAAGGGGGCUAGCGUUGCUCGGAAUUACUGGGCGUAAAGGGCGCGUAGGCGGACAGCUUAGUCAGAGGUGAAAGCCCAGGGCUCAACCUUGGAAUUGCCUUUGAUACUGGCUGUCUUGAGUUUGGGAGAGGUGAGUGGAACUCCGAGUGUAGAGGUGAAAUUCGUAGAUAUUCGGAAGAACACCAGUGGCGAAGGCGACUCACUGGCCCAAUACUGACGCUGAGGCGCGAAAGCGUGGGGAGCAAACAGGAUUAGAUACCCCGGUAGUCC